rnacentral:lncRNA from 1 species
GCUCUGUGCUGACAGCUCAGAGCCUGGAGCCUGCUUCGGAUUCUGUGUCUCCCUCUCUUCUCCUCCCCCCCACCCCCAAAUAAAAAAAACAUAAAAAAAAACACCAAACACUUCUCCGAGGUUCAGUCUCUCCUUCUAUAUAGAGGGGAUGAUGAUGAAAUAGGACCUAUUUCAGGAUUGGUAAGAGGGUUCAGUUAAUUAGUACAUGUAAGAAAUGAUAAAGUUAUGCAUACAGCAUAUGAGCAACAAAUAUUAGCUAUUACUAAUUAUUUUAGUUGAGCGUCAACUAUGUAGCAGGUACUUGACAUACACAAUCUAAUUUAAUCCUCACGGCAACAUCACAGGGUUUUAUUUCUUUGGGGAGAUGAGGAUUCUGAGGUUCACAGAGGUUAAGCAAUUUACUCAAGGUCGCAUAGCUGUUAACUGUGGGGGAGGGGCAGGUUGGAAUUGAGAAUCCCCUCCUGCCUGAUUCUAGAGCCUGUGCCUUGUCACCUCACAAACAGGCCAUGACUCUACUUGUUAUCAAAACUUCCCAGUCUGUCGUGAAAUUGGCUAUGUUAUUCCUUUAGAACACAGUUGGAGAGAAAAGAACUCUCCACGGGGUCCUUGUCAAAGCACGGAAAAUAAAACUCUCCGACUCCUCUUUCCUACUUCACCAUCCUAAACGCCUAAACCCAAACUAGGAACCGCGGGCACUGCCUUCUCUCCCGGACUCCUCUGUCGCUGCGGAGCCCCUUCUCCUCCCAGCCGCGUUUGGGUCCAGUGUCCGACUCGGAAGGCUUUCUUCCCUGUCUGCCGCUCCUCCCCGCCUUUCUUUCCCCGCUGCCACCUCUGGAGGAACCUGCGCGACGCCGGGUGCCAGGUACCGAGUGCCGAGUGCCGAGUGCCGGGUCUCCGGAGGGCCCUGCGUGCAGGUGCGCGAGGUCCGUGCGGCUGCCCUGCGAGUGCGUCGGGAGAACUGCGCUUGCAGGUGUACGACAGUAAACUAAAUAAUUAGCAGAAGUCAAUAAAUGGACACCCAGUUCAGCCA